CAUGUUCAGUACAUGUGCAGUUGUUCUUUUUCCAAAUAUUGUUGAACUGCAAAUAGUUGAUUCUACAGAUAAUGGGAGGGUGUCCAUCUUUAGGAAGGCUAUGAGCAGGCAGCCUCUUAGGAAUUCAGCCAAGAGGAAAAGCACUCUGAUUAUGAAUGGAACAGUAGGAAACUGAUUCCUGCAAAUGAUAGCAGCAAGACAAGAACCACGGAUCAGAGAAAUGACAGGAAGGAGGAAUGCUCCCUGCCAGUAGCCUCAUGCCAGGGAACAACUACCACAAUGUGGAGACCCAGGCACGGAGGGAAAGUCAUGGCCCUGGUGACACAACUAGAAAGGAUGCAGCAGGCUGGCAGCCUGUUCUGGGACUAAACCCACAGCUUGAAUUCUGAGCUGCUGCAUUUUGCCACCUUGCAGUGUGACAUGCUUGUCACAAGCUUGGAGUGCAGAGUUCGUGUUCUCAGCACAGCUAUUCACGUCUGAAGAUAAAGAACUUUUAUGCUGAGCCUGAGGCAGGUGUAUACACAACCAUUUAUCAAAGUCCACCUGGGUCCAGACAUCUGGUAAGCCCUGGAAGUACACAGCAGGAUCCUGCCAGUCUCUGCCCUCAUGGAGACUGGCCAGUCGGUAAUACCAGAUUAAAU
rnacentral:lncRNA from 1 species